rnacentral:piRNA from 1 species
UGGGAUGUAAGCAUGAUAUGCUGGGU